UGGAUGGGUUACAUGCUCCUGUAUGAGAGUAUGCUGGGAAGUGUUAUUACAGCUAGAGAUCGCUGGUUGAAGCCUGGAGGUUUAAUUCUCCCAUCACAUGCAACAUUGUACAUGGCACCUAUUUCACACCCUGACAGAUACAGUCACAGCAUUGGUUUUUGGCGCAACGUUUAUGGAAUUGAUAGUAAAUAGUAUCAACUUUGGGACAAUCAUUACGUUAAAUUUGAUUGCAAUACUAGUUAAAACUGAGUAAUUAUUUUACUGUGAUAUGAUGUUACUAAUAAGCUUGCCAUGUCCCAUAUCAUGAUAGGCGGAUCGUUUGGUCAUUUCCUAGACAUAUCCACAUCAUGAUAUGACAAAAUUAGGUUAUUGUGAUAGCAUUUAUUGCUUUGAUAGUCCUGGACCUCCUCCUGGUCCUUGGCUUAAGGGAGUAAAAAUGUGGCUGUAGCAUAUCUUGAUCAUAAGGGUUAGCUGAAAGUGAAACGUGUUCUUCUCCUCACCUUCACGUUGGAUAACUUGUAGUCGAGAAUCAGAUAAACAGUCAACUUUUAUAAAGUGAUAAAGAAGCAUCUCCCAGUAAGGUUACAGUAAUGAUGGUUGAUGUUGUCUGCAAUGAUGCAAUUGGCUAAACAGUGUGCAUUUGAAGAACCUAGCGUGGAAUCCAUAUCAGGAGAGAACGUGCUAACAUGGCCAGAAGUGGUAUUUCCUUGUUACAUGCAAUCUCUUUGAGCUCUCUAAACAAAGUUCCAAAGUUUGCAAUUUGGACAACUGGAUUAUAGAUUAGGUUUUAGAAAUAAAAUAAAAACUAUCAAAACAAAAAUACCAAUUUAACCGAACCAAAAACCAAUAUGAGAGAACCAACUCCUAAAAAAAAUCCUCGAAAACUAACGAGCGGGCUGAUUUGAUAAUGGGCCUCAAACGAAGACUUAAGAAAACCCUAACUACUCUGAGAAUAUAUAUAUAUAAUUAGACAGCCAUCGCGCUCAUCAUCAUCAUCAGUUGUUUUAUCUUUCUAUUUGUUGUUCUGUUGUUAUUGUUUCAUAUUUGUUUCCGAUGAUCUCUCUAAUUAAAAUAGAGAAGGCAGUGACGACUCGGAAAAUAUCAAGCUCAACAGACCGGAAUGAGGCGUUUCUUCCUUUACCGGAGAUUCGUUUCUGUGUCGAUAAUCCCGCUGAACUGAGCCUUCUCUCUUUGUAUUUUUUUUCACGUUUGAUCCGUUUUUUUUAAUUUAAUAUUUUCCUUUGAAUUUUGAAAUAGUUUUGGUGGUGGGGAGAUGACGAUGAGGAUAUAACGCUCCCUCUUCUGAGUUCAGCUGAAGUAAUUUGCUGGCAGAAUCGAACCUAAUAUUACUAGCCACCACUGAGUCAUCUUCUUACCCCCCACCCAUAAAUGAAUUUGCAAAGUUUUAUUUUAAAAUUCUUUGAUGUUAAAUCAGAUUAAUCGUGAAUUGAUUUAGGCGGUGGUGAUAAUGAUGAAGCAAUAAAUCUAAUCCAACACUUGAUCUGAUUAAUGCUAUGUGCAUUUGAUGUUAUACAUGUUUAGCUUCUGAAUCUUCCCUGAUAGACCCAAGUUAUUCAUUUACUGUAUCGAUGAUCAUUGUUAUACUAGUUUAUAGGACAUUGUUCUUGAGGCCAUUUAUAGCUUCUUACUAUGAGGGCAUUUAUUUAUCAUUCGUAUUUUAUUGGUAUUGGGUAAGCUAAUACAUUGGUGUCGAUAUAUUCAAAUUUGUGAAUAUAUCGACAUCACUUCUACCUGUUAACAGACUUUUCACUGUUAAGAGAGCUUCAAGAUCAUGAAAAUAUAUCUAAGAUAUUCAUAUCACUUACAUCUGGAACAUUGCUUAAUUCUUUGGCAGUCCUGUCUCUUGCUGCCAUCUAAUCUUCUGAAUUCUAUGCCAUUUUCGAUAAAACACAGCUCGACCAAGUUAAUGUUUUUUAACUUUGGAAUAAAAGUGAGUUUUUUAAUAAAAAAAAAUAUUUCCUUGGUUUCUUGUUUUUGGCUUUGUGUUUUGAGGAGGCGCUGUGUCUUUCUUGGGUUGUGUCUUGGUUCCAUCUGAUAUUUGAGCCUCAACUUUCUUGGGAGGUGGCUUCAAAUUACCAUAGUCCACUCCCAAUAUUUGGAUGCCCGUCUUCGUUAACAUCUUCAUGAACAAACCUUCUUCAAUGUUCCCACACAUAUAUACCAUCUGACUUGGUGCAUCUAUGGUAAAUGAUACACCUGACAUCGAACUCAGAAAUAAAUAAAAAACCACCAAACCAAACCUUAAAUAGAGAAAACUUGCAAACCUUGGAUGGUCUUUAAAGCUCCAAUGAUUUUCUUGUACCAACUUCCUUCUAACAUGUCAAUCUCGAAUCUAAAUCUCUGCUGCAAAAAAAAAAAAGCAGAGAAGUUAUGAGAUCAAUAUAUAUGUAUAACCAGAAAAUGAUUAUUAGGUUUCCGGAUGCCUUGUGGAUUCUCUUCAUGUCCAUAAUCAAUCCGGUAGAGCAUAGCGUAAAUUUUGGCUUUAGAUAACUUUUUAAUGAAGACCACAGGAUCAACUUGGCCACGUAAAAACAUCAACUUCUUAGUGAACAUCAUAGGAUUAGCUCCUUUGCCAUGUAUCCACCAGUCGGGUGCAUCAAUGGAGAACGCUAAACCUAGAAUUAACGACAUUACAGUUAUAGUUAAAUACUUGUUUACUUCCUCUUGAGUAAUCAAUAAUUAACAAGAAGAAGAUGGAUCAAGACUCAAAGGCUUCUUUACCUUCAAUGCCCACAAAUAUUUUAUGUAAUGUCUUUUGCCAACCUUUUGAGUUCAGUUUCCACAAGCAAAACACAUGACUAUUCAUAAAUUUACACAGGGACUGUUAGAAAAUUUUAGACAAUGCGUUGAAAAACAAGUAGAAAAGAAAAGAAAAAGAAUCAAAGAAAUUCUUACUAGUUGAGGAGCCGCCAUCUUUUUUUGGGUUCCUAGCUACAGCUGCUUUCUUUGUUUACCCUAACAUGCACAACUUUAGUAAGAUUAUAUUAUAUACUAAAUUAACUUAUUUAUAAUUAGACAAUUCCAUUACUAAACUUAUACGACCUAUGGUUUAGUUUCCUUGUUUACGUGUCCGUACAUAUUUUGACUUCCAUAAUUUACUACAAGAACUGAACUGGAAGCCAGGGGCGAAACCAGGUUGUGUACUAUGGAGGCCUGUACACCCAUAAAAAUUAUUUAUAUUUCAAAUUUUAUGUGAAAAAACACUUAAAAUCUGUUAGAUAAGGUGGAAAUGUUGUGUUGUGCACCCACUCAAACCAAGGUUCGUUUCCUUCUUCUGUCUUUUUUCUAUUUUAUCAAUAAUGGUGCACCCACUAGAUUAAUGGCCUGGAUUCGCCCCUGCUGGAAGCUGUUUGAAUUGGAAGGCAGGAAAGCCCAUGGUUGCAGCUCUUUUGGCCUAGAGGCGGUCUCGCCAAUGGGAACUCCGGAAAAUCCUCCCCCUUGCACCUACUUUCAUCCAUGUGCUCACGUGGGACUCACGAAGAGAUGAUCUAGAUUGUAUAUUUCUAUGACUCAAUAGACGUAGACCAAGACCAAGUCAUUGAAGGCUCCGUUACUCUUUCUCAAAGCAAAGAGAACCGGAGAUUCAUGAAUAUCCACCUCAAAUAUUCCUCGGCCGGUCGUUCCUUUGUGAUCGGUAAUGCGUUAAGAAGUUGAUUCUCUGACAAUAUCUCCGUACCUUUGAAGCCAUGUAAGAGUCCAGAACCAAGACUUGAAGGCAUUGACAAACAGAAGCUAUUUAAGUCUGCGAGAAACCAUAUGACCUUGUAAGAGUAUUUAGGUUGAGAUCAGAUGGACGCAGUUAUAGGUUAUUGUUCUUGAGGCCAUUUAUAGUUUCUUACUAGUACUCAGCAUAACACUCUUCCCUAUUAAUGCAUGUAUUUAUGACUCGUACUUUAUUGGUAUUGUGUAAGUGUUGCAAAGUUGCAUCUAUUUGAAGCAUGAAAUAUGUAAAUCUAAGAAUCUAUUGCUGGAUAAUUGAUACCUUUGGCAGCUGA